rnacentral:misc_RNA from 1 species
GGGAAACCCAUUAUUGUCAGGCAGGUUUUUGAUAGUUCGUCCAUUGCGAGCUGGGAUCCGGAGGUUAUCUGGAGAGGAAUUCAGGGUAAGACUGAUGAGAGAGUGAAUUAUGAGACUCAAUUAGUGAAGGCCAUCAAUUGCUCAGACCAGUCUGAGGUCAAUAUUGAGCUUCUUCAGUUCAUCGAAGGAUACUUUAAUGGUCGUAUCUCG